GCCGGGGUGCCCGAGCGGCCUAAGGGGCUGGCCUCGAGAGCCAGUGGGCUUCGGCCCUCGCAGGUUCAAAUCCUGCCCCCGGCG
rnacentral:tRNA from 2 species